AUCUAAAAGUGUUGAUUUCAA
rnacentral:siRNA from 1 species